rnacentral:rRNA from 1 species
AUUGAACGCUGGCGGCAUGCCUUACACAUGCAAGUCGAACGGUAACAGGUCUUCGGAUGCUGACGAGUGGCGAACGGGUGAGUAAUACAUCGGAACGUGCCCGAGAGUGGGGGAUAACGAGGCGAAAGCUUUGCUAAUACCGCAUACGAUCGCAGGAUGAAAGCAGGGGACCGCAAGGCCUCGCGCUCACGGAGCGGCCGAUGGCAGAUUAGGUAGUUGGUGGGAUAAAAGCUUACCAAGCCGACGAUCUGUAGCUGGUCUGAGAGGACGACCAGCCACACUGGGACUGAGACACGGCCCAGACUCCUACGGGAGGCAGCAGUGGGGAAUUUUGGACAAUGGGCGCAAGCCUGAUCCAGCCAUGCCGCGUGCAGGAUGAAGGCCUUCGGGUUGUAAACUGCUUUUGUACGGAACGAAAAGACUCUGGUUAAUACCUGGGGUCCAUGACGGUACCGUAAGAAUAAGCACCGGCUAACUACGUGCCAGCCGCCGCCGUAAGAC